rnacentral:lncRNA from 1 species
ACACAAUUUCGGCUGGUGAAUUGGCUCUGAUACCAAAUGUAACGAUCCAGCCCACUAGCAACAAUAACUCGUUGGACCCAACCACUGGCCCAAAAUGCUUAAGCCCAGUUAUUAUUACUAAUGUCUAAGUCUCUUAUAUACCCAAUCACAUCACCAUUCCUAUCCGAUGUAGGAUUAUUGGGGUGUGACAGCAGAAAAAUUUAUCUUGUCUGGAAAAUCAUCUAUUUGUAUCCC